UACGUAGGAUCCAAGCGUUGUCCGGAUUUACUGGGUGUAGAGGGUGCGCAGGCGGACUUGUUAGUCAGAGGUGAAAUCUCACUGCUCAACAGUGAAACUGCCUUUGAUACUGCAGGUCUUGAAUCCAGAAGAGAGUUGUGGAAUUCCGAGUGUAGCAGUGAAAUGUGUAGAUAUUCGGAAGAACACCAGCGGCGAAGGCAGCAACUUGGUCUGGUAGUGACGCUCAGGCACGAAAGCAUGGGGAUCAAACAGGG
rnacentral:rRNA from 1 species